rnacentral:misc_RNA from 1 species
AAUCCAUUCAUGAUAGAAACAACAUUAACUAUGUCACAAACACAAAUUACAAAGUUGGUAAUAGAUUAGAUACCUAAUAAAUCAAUAAUACAUCAAAUUGUGACUUUACACACGAGGUAAAUGUCGUCCUACAAAGUUUCAAAAACUAGGGGGAUUCUCUCUCAUCACAAAAUUUCCAAUAAACCCACAUUCUUGUUUCUUCGAAUUCAGCUUCAAACAAAUCAAAUCCACAUCAUAUUAUACAUAAGCCUAUCAACCCGAAUUGUCCCUUAGGUUUCUUCAACGUCAAGCAUGCGAGAGCUAUCUUCACCUUCACCUUCACCUUCACCUAUCUUCUUAUCAUUACUUGUAUAACUCAACCAGACAAGCUAAGGUAAAUUGAAGUAGCAAACCCUAGCGCGUAAACGCCGAUCGCCGCACCGACCAAAUGGAACCCGGACCUCAUUACGGCUCCGAUCCCAACAAUCCCGGCCACUCCGAUUGGAACUCGGGCUAAAACCGCCUUGCCGGCAUUUCCCACGGCGGCCCCCGCGUACAGCACCACCGCCCACUCCUUAAACUGGGCCGGCCCCAGAAUCAACUCCUCCUCACUCUUGUUGUUCUGUUGACGAGCAACGAUCCGAAGAGCUGAGUCGAUUUGGGUCCGAGUUGGGGGAGACGGAACCCACUUGAGGAUAAGGGGUUGUUUGUGAGUGGUGGAGACGGUAGCAUGG